rnacentral:rRNA from 1 species
CGCCUGUUUUUCAAAAACAUCGCCUCUUGUUCAAUUAUAGGAGGUCCAGCCUGCCCAGUGACUUUGUUCAACGGCCGCGGUAUCCUAACCGUGCGAAGGUAGCGUAAUCACUUGUUCUUUAAAUGAGGACUAGUAUGAAUGGCCCCACGAGGGCUGCACUGUCUCCUUUUUCUAAUCAAUGAAACUAAUCUCCCCGUGAAGAAGCGGGAAUUAUCCUAUAAGACGAGAAGACCCUAUGGAGCUUUAAACAAUUGAAACAUUUGCUUUUCUCCUAACUCCUCCCGAGCUCUUUAUUUUUAUUUAAGCAUUAUUAUUUCUAGUUUUAGGUUGGGGUGACCACGGAGCAAAACUAAACCUCCAUGAAGAAAUGAAUAUUUUUAAGCCACAAACUACUUUUUUAAGCAUCAACAAAUUGACCUUCAUUGACCCAAUAUAUUGAUCAACGAACCAAGUUACCCUAGGGAUAACAGCGCAAUCUACUUCAAGAGCUCAUAUCGACAAGUAGGUUUACGACCUCGAUGUUGGAUCAGGGUAUCCUAGUGGUGCAGCCGCUACUAAUGGUUCGUUUGUUCAACGAUUAAAACCCU